rnacentral:rRNA from 1 species
AGUGAACGCUGGCGGUAGGCCUAACACAUGCAAGUCGAACGGCAGCACAGUAAGAGCUUGCUCUUACGGGUGGCGAGUGGCGGACGGGUGAGGAAUACAUCGGAAUCUACUUUUUCGUGGGGGAUAACGUAGGGAAACUUACGCUAAUACCGCAUACGACCUACGGGUGAAAGCAGGGGAUCUUCGGACCUUGCGCGAUUGAAUGAGCCGAUGUCGGAUUAGCUAGUUGGCGGGGUAAAGGCCCACCAAGGCGACGAUCCGUAGCUGGUCUGAGAGGAUGGUCAGCCACACUGGAACUGAGACACGGUCCAGACUCCUACGGGAGGCCGCAGUGGGGAAUAUUGGACAAUGGGCGCAAGCCUGAUCCAGCCAUACCGCGUGGGUGAAGAAGGCCUUCGGGUUGUAAAGCCCUUUUGUUGGGAAAGAAAAGCAGCAGGUUAAUACCCCGCUGUUCUGACGGUACCCAAAGAAUAAGCACCGGCUAACUUCGUG